UGUCUACAUGUUACUUGUAUUGUGCAAUGAACAGGUUAAUUGCACAAUUACCUGGAGACCAGCUACACAUGCAAAGUAACUACCACACAAUAAAA